rnacentral:rRNA from 1 species
GACGAACGCUGGCGGCGUGCCUAAUACAUGCAAGUCGAGCGGAAUGAUGAAGAAGCUUGCUUCUUCUGAUUUUAGCGGCGGACGGGUGAGUAACACGUGGGCAACCUACCUUGUAGAUUGGGAUAACUCCGGGAAACCGGGGCUAAUACCGAAUAAUCCAUUUUGCUUCAUGGCGAGAUGUUGAAAGACGGUUUCGGCUGUCACUACAAGAUGGGCCCGCGGCGCAUUAGCUAGUUGGUAGGGUAAUGGCCUACCAAGGCGACGAUGCGUAGCCGACCUGAGAGGGUGAUCGGCCACACUGGGACUGAGACACGGCCCAGACUCCUACGGGAGGCAGCAGUAGGGAAUCUUCCACAAUGGACGAAAGUCUGAUGGAGCAACGCCGCGUGAGUGAAGAAGGUUUUCGGAUCGUAAAACUCUGUUGUAAGGGAAGAACACGUACGAGAGUAACUGCUCGUACCUUGACGGUACCUUAUUAGAAAGCCACGGCUAACUACGUG